rnacentral:rRNA from 1 species
UACGGGGGGGGCAAGCGUUGUUCGAAAUUACUGGGCGUAAAGGGCGCGUAGGCGGCCUUCUAAGUCAGACGUGAAAUCCCUCGGCUCAACCGAGGAACUGCGUCUGAUACUGGAAGGCUUGAAUCCGGGAGAGGGAUGUGGAAUUCCAGGUGUAGCGGUGAAAUGCGUAGAUAUCUGGAGGAACACCGGUGGCGAAGGCGGCAUCCUGGACCGGUAUUGACGCUGAGGCGCGAAAGCUAGGGGAGCAAACGGG